rnacentral:rRNA from 1 species
CAGUAGCCGCGGUAAUACGUAGGUGGCAAGCGUUAUCCGGAAUUAUUGGGCGUAAAGCGCGCGUAGGCGGUUUUUUAAGUCUGAUGUGAAAGCCCACGGCUCAACCGUGGAGGGUCAUUGGAAACUGGAAAACUUGAGUGCAGAAGAGGAAAGUGGAAUUCCACGUGUAGCGGUGAAAUGCGCAGAGAUAUGGAGGAACACCAGUGGCGAAGGCGACUUUCUGGUCUGUAACUGACGCUGAUGUGCAAAAGCGUGGGGAUCAAACAGGAUUAGAUACCCCAGUAGUCCCUGUCUCUUAUAC